rnacentral:lncRNA from 1 species
AGACAAAGAGGAAAAAGAAGUUCCGACAAACAGAUACGGAAAAGUAAUACUGGAAAAAGGAAAGGAACUAAAAAUUAGGAAACAAUUAAACCAAGAAGAAAAAGGAAGGUUAAAAGCAGUACUAAGAAAGAAUCUGGAUAUAUUUGCAUGGGAUAUAAGUUAGAUCACAGGAAUAGAAAGAAAUGUUAUAGAGCAUAGAUUAUGCACGAAUCCCAAAGGAAACCCGAUCAAAAAAAGACUACGAACGUUAGGUCCAGAAAGAAGAACAACCAAAGUAGAAAUCGUAAAACUUCUUCAUGCUGGCUUUAUUAGGGAAGUAAAGUACCCAAAAUGGCUCUCCAAUAUCGUAAUGGUGAAAAAACAAGAUGGUGGAUGGAGGAUGUGCGUAGAUUUUACAAACCUUCAAUAGAUAUCCAUUACCUUCAAUAGAUACCCUAGUAGAUAGAAGUGUUAGAAAUAAAAUAUUAAGUUUCAUAGAUGCAUAUUCAGGUUAUAAUCAGGUAAAAAUGUGCAAAGAAGACGAAGAAAAAACUUCAUUCAUAACAAAAAUGGGUACUUUCUGUUAUAUAGUGAUGUCAUUCGGUCUAAAAAAUGCAGAAGCCACUUUUCAAAGAUUAGUAGAUAAAGUAUUCAAAGAGCAGAUUGAAAAAAAUAUGGAAGUUUAUGUAGACGACCUUUUAGUCAAAUCUAAAAAAGUGAGUGAACAUUGGGGAGAUGUAGAAUCCACAUUCAAAAGAAUCAAGAAAUCAGGAAUAAAAUUAAAACCAGAAAAAUGUACCUUCGGGGUCACCGAAGGAAAAUUUCUUGGUUAGUUUCACCGGCAUAAAGCCACACCCAGAAAAAAUUGAGGCCAUAAUAAACAUGAAACUACCCAAGAAUUUAAAAGAACUACAAAGAUUGAAUGGUAAAGUAGUGGCAUUGGGUAGAUUCAUACCAAAAAAUACCGAAAGGUAUUGACCCUUCUUUAAGAUCCUAAAAAAUCCAGGUAAAUAUAUAAAUUGGGAUGAAAAGUGUGAUGAAGCUUUCAAAGAAUUGAAGAAAACCUUGGAAGAAUUACCCAUAUUACAUCACCCAAACCCUUUAAAUCCACUCUACAUGUAUGUCUCAUGCUCUGAAAAAUCAAUUAGUGCAAUCCUAGUCACAGAAAGUGGUGGGAUUCAAAACCCAGUAUUUUACCUAUCCAGAACACUGCAGGGAGCAGAUUUUAGAUAUCCUCUAUUGAAAAAAUUAGCCUUAGCUAUUGUGAUAAGUGCCAAGAGGCUAAGAAUCUAUUUUCAGACAUAUCAAAUAAUAAUACCAACUAGCUACCCGCUCCUCCAAACACUUAACAAGCCAGAUGUAUUAGGAAGACUGGCUAAAUGGGCUAUAGAGCUAAGCGGGUAUGACAUUAAAUUUAUCCCAACAAAAACUAUAAAAGUUCAAGUCUUAGCAGAAUUGACUUCGGAAUCCAAAAUAGAGGAAGAGGAAGAAGAAAUGUGGAGUAUGAAAGUAGAUGGUUCGAUAGGAAAAAGUGGUUGCGAGGCAGGAAUCGUCCUGGAAAAUAAAGAAGAAUUACAAUUAGAACAUGUUGUUCACUUUGAUUUUCAGGCGACAAACAAUGUAGCAGAAUACGAGGCAGUAGUAGCAGGAUUGGAAAUAGCAAAAGAAUUGGGAAUUAAGAAUUUAAAAGUAUACACAGAUUCCCAACUAGUAGCCAACCAGGUAAAAGGAAAUUAUGAAAUCAAGGAACAAAACCUGAAAGAUUAUAAAGAAUUAGUAGUGAAAUUAAUGAAGAGUUUUAAGACAGUUAAAUUAAACUUGGUAAAGAGAGAGUUUAUUGAGGAAGUAGACGCAUUAGCUAAGCUAGGUGCAGCAAAGAGUAUAAAACAUGACAAAUGGAUUCAGGUAAGAACAUUGCCAUUCUCAUCCAUCCAGUACAACAAAGAAAAUUUGGAAAUAAGUUCAGAAGUAGCAGAUUGGAGAUCGAAAAUAAAGAACUUCAUUUUAGGAACUGAAAUACCAGACAAUAAAUUAGAAUUAAAAAAGGUCAGAAACUAAGCGACACAUUACGUAUUAUUAGAAGAAGACUUAUACAGAAGAGAGGUAAGAACAAGAACUUUCCCACUUAGAAUAUGUGUUUGAACAGAGGAAGGCUGGGAAAUAGACAAAAGUAUACACGAAGGUGGAGGAGCCCACCAGAGUGGAAAAAAGUUAUACUUGCAGAUAUUUUUGGCCAACAAUUAUGGCAGAUACGAAAAGGAUAACUCGUGAAUGUCAAGAAUGUCAAAAAUACUCAGAUCUGCAGCAUUGUCCGUCAAAAAAAUUCACAUCACUUAACAUCCCUAUACCCUUUGCUAGAUGGGGAUUGGAUAUUAUUGGCCCUUUUCCUGUAGCUAACGGGAGAAGAAAAUACGCUUUUGUAGCAGUUGAAUAUUUCAUAAAAUGGGCGGAAGCAGAACCAGUCAAAUCAAUAACUCAAGAUAGAGCAGUCAAAUUUGUAUCAAAAACAUAAUCUGCAAAUUCGGAGUUCCGAUCUAGAUCAUUACGGACAACGACACUCAAUUCGCAGGAAAAGCAAUGAAGGCAUUUUGCAAAGACAUCAAUAACAAGCUAAGUUUCGCAUCAGUCCACCAUCCUCAUACUAACGGCCAGGUAAAGGCAGUCAACAAAGCAAUAAUCAAAAUUUUAAAGAGAAAGGCAGGAGACAAUCCAAAAACAUGGGUGAUAGAGACGAUACUUGUAAAGCAAAGAUUAUUGAAGAAGCUCGCUGGCAGUUGGAGCUGUUGUCGCCGGAAUCGUCCACUGGGGGAAAUGAAGAUCGAGAAACUCCAAACGAGGAGAAUGCGAGGGUGCCGGAUCGUCGACCAGAGCGCAAACGGGUCCUGUCAACCCGAUUGCAUGGAUAUGAUUUAAAUUAGGGAUUUCCGUUUUAUUUUAAAUUGAUAUGUUAAGUUGUACCGCAAGACUUGUAUUGCGUUAAGCUGUAGUUUAAGUAAAUGAGACCUAUAAAAGGGAAUAGCUGU